UUAACUCAAAUUUGUAUGGAGUUGGAACGUUUGCCUACGUUUGCCGCCAGGGGCGCUGUUCCAACUGCAUACAAAUUUGAGUUA
rnacentral:pre_miRNA from 1 species